rnacentral:rRNA from 1 species
UACGUAGGGGGCUAGCGUUGUCCGGAAUCAUUGGGCGUAAAGCGCGUGUAGGCGGUCCGGUCAGUCCGCUGUGAAAGUCGGGGGCUCAACCCUCGGAUGCCGGUGGAUACUGUCGGGCUUGAGUACGGAAGAGGCGAGUGGAAUUCCUGGUGUAGCGGUGAAAUGCGCAGAUAUCAGGAGGAACACCAAUUGCGAAGGCAGCUCGCUGGGACGUUACUGACGCUGAGACGCGAAAGCGUGGGGAGCAAACAGG